rnacentral:rRNA from 1 species
CCUACGGGGGGCAGCAGUGGGGAAUAUUGGACAAUGGGGGGAACCCUGAUCCAGCCAUGCCGCGUGUGUGAAGAAGGCCCUCGGGUUGUAAAGCACUUUCAGUGAGGAAGAACGCCUGGUGGUUAAUACCCAUCAGGAAAGACAUCACUCACAGAAGAAGCACCGGCUAACUCCGUGCCAGCAGCCGCGGUAAUACGGAGGGUGCGAGCGUUAAUCGGAAUUACUGGGCGUAAAGCGCGCGUAGGUGGCUUGAUAAGCCGGUUGUGAAAGCCCCGGGCUCAACCUGGGAACGGCAUCCGGAACUGUCAAGCUAGAGUGCAGCAGAGGAAGGUAGAACUCCCGGUGUAGCGGUGAAAUGCGUAGAGAUCGGGAGGAAUACCAGUGGCGAAGGCGGCCUUCUGGACUGACACUGACACUGAGGUGCGAAAGCGUGGGUAGCAAACAGGAUUAGAUACCCGGGUAGUC